rnacentral:rRNA from 1 species
AUUGAACGCUGGCGGCAGGCCUAACACAUGCAAGUCGAACGGUAGCACAGAGAGCUUGCUCUCGGGUGACGAGUGGCGGACGGGUGAGUAACGUCUGGGAAACUGCCCGAUGGAGGGGGAUAACUACUGGAAACGGUAGCUAAUACCGCAUAACGUCGCAAGACCAAAGUGGGGGACCUUCGGGCCCCACACCAUCGGAUGUGCCCAGAUGGGAUUAGCUAGUAGGUGGGGUAAUGGCUCACCUAGGCGACGGUCCCUAGCUGGUCUGAGAGGAGGACCGGCAACACUGGAACUGAGACACGGUCCAGACUCCUACGGGAGGCAGCAGUGGGGAAUAUUGCACUAUGGGCGCAAGCCUGAUGCAGCCAUGCCGCGUGUAUGAAGAAGGCCUUCGGGUUGUAAAGUACUUUCAGCGGGGAGGAAGGCGGUGAAGUUAAUAACUUCACCGAUUGACGUUACCCGCAGAAGAAGCACCGGCUAACUCCGUGCCAGCCGCCGCCGUAA